rnacentral:rRNA from 1 species
AUACGAAGGGUGCAAGCGUUAAUCGGAAUUACUGGGCGUAAAGGGUGCGUAGGCGGCCUGUUAAGUCGGAUGUGAAAGCCCUGGGCUCAACCUGGGAAUGGCAUUUGAUACUGGCGGGCUGGAGUGCGGUAGAGGAUGGUGGAAUUCCCGGUGUAGCGGUGAAAUGCGUAGAGAUCGGGAGGAACAUCGAUGGCGAAGGCAGCCAUCUGGACCAGCACUGACGCUGAGGCACGAAAGCGUGGGGAGCAAACAGGAUUAGAUACCCUGGUAGUCCACGCCCUAAACGAUGCGAACUGGAUGUUGGGUCCACUUGAGGAUUCAGUAUCGAAGCUAACGCGUUAAGUUCGCCGCCUGGGGAGUACGGUCGCAAGACUGAA